rfam:Pseudohongiella acticola strain KCTC 42131 KCTC42131_S7, whole genome shotgun sequence.
CCUGACGACCAUAGCGAGUAUGAACCACCUGAUCCCAUCCCGAACUCAGAAGUGAAAGUACUCAGCGCCGAUGGUAGUGUGGGGUCUCCCCAUGUGAGAGUAGGACAUCGUCAGGC